rnacentral:lncRNA from 1 species
CAAAGAUAAGUUGAAUAAGAGAAUGAUUAUCUUCAAGUAGAUAGGAAGAUAAGUUUGAAUAAGGGAAUUUCAAAUUAAAGUACGAUAUUGGACUUCAAGUUUUUGAUAGAUUUCUUGUCAUUCUUUGAAGGAAGAUUAUAUGCUAAAGGAAAAGAGAUACGGAAGUAUAUGGUGGAUCAAGAGUAUUUAUUUAAAUCAAUAUCAAAACUGAAAAUUGAAGUAUUAUGCGAAAAAUUUGUUUGGAAUUGAAGCAUUCCAUUUGGUUUUCAAAUAUGAGGGUAUAAAUUAAUAUUUAUUCAGGAGUUUUUUGGAAUUGAAGAUACAUUUUUAUGAUUUUGGAUUUUAAAUGUUAGGAAACUCACAAGUCUAAAAAAGAAUAGUUGAAGAGAAAAGUUUGAUUGUACACAAUAUUAACAGAAAAGGUUUUGGAUUUGUUGGGUUGAAUCCUUAUGUUACAUAAGGAAAAUAAGUUAUAAUAAAAGAAUUUUCUAUUAUUCAACUAUAUGAUUGUACUUCCACGUUUUGGCGUUUGGUGAGGUCUAGACAUUCUUUGGAUAAAGGAGUAUAAAAUUGGAUGGAGAGUUCACAACUUGGAGAAACAUGAUACUUUUAAGAUUUGCCAAAUUGCCGUGAUAUCUUAUAGGAGAAAUUAUGAAUUUAAAGAGGGAAAAGCACAUGGAGUGUGGUGGAUCAUGGAGUAAUUCAUUGAAAAGAUUUUUAGUAAAUGAAACUCUAAAAUAACAAGUGCUUGGGUUAAUUGGUGCAGGAGUAAAGUUUCUUUUGGUCUAAUAAGGUUAAUAUGAGAUUGAAGUUCGACUUUUGAAUGAAGUGUUCUUGUCCUUCUUUGGAUGAAAUAAGUAAUGAAAUGUUAAGAUGGACAGAGAUGGGGCACCUAUUUGAUUUUCUUCACAGUUCUGGCUUUGGCUUGGACAUGAAGUUGGUUAUAUUUGGACAUUUUCAUUGGUAGAAGGUAGAGUAUUAAAAGUUUUUGAAGGAUUAGUGGAGAAACUUGUAAGCCUAAUAUGUGUAUUUAAAGGAACCAAGAAAAGAGGCCUAAUAGGUUGCCAUCUUUUGAAGAAAGGAUUAUCAAAUUGGAUCAAGUGUUGAAGCAGUAGGAAAGGAGGAAAAGAGAAAGUGGAAAGGGGGAAAUAUUGAAGUAAGAAAGUAGAAGAAGAAAAUACCAAAAUUGAAGAUAGGAAAAAAACAUGAAAAGUGAGAAGGCUGUGAUGAUUAUUGAUUUAGCUUUUAGAAGAGUUCGUACCAAAAAGUUUGUAUUACCCAUCAUUACCUAGAGCCGGACUAGGGUAUGAUGGGAAAUAAAUACUUUUUGGUAGCAUUCGCUCCUAAAAACUAAGCCAAUAAUCAUCACCGCUUUUAUCAAAUUUCUUGUUUUUUUCUUGUAUUUUAAUUUGGUAUUUUCUUUUUCUACUUUCUUACUUUGACUAACGGUGAGAUUAGCCUAAUGGAUUAAAUUUUUAUUUAAGGGAUGGGGUGAGUGCUCAUAUCUCUUUGCCAUUGUUUUGAGAAAUGAUUAUCAACUUGAAUUAGUGUUGAAAUAGUGCACUAAGAGUCAGAUUAGCCAAUUGGAUCAAGGUUUUAUUUAUAAGCUCUAUGGUGAUUUUUCGUUGAUAUGAAUAUAGCGAAAAGUCAUUUGGCUAAUGAAAUGAUAUUGAAAAAAGACAACAUGGAGGGACUAUAGACGACACAAAAAGAAAAGUUAGAAUAUAAGGAGGCUGGCUGUUAAGAAGAAAUCUGACUCAACGAGGUUUGAAAAUCUAAUAUUUCCUCAUUAUUAGGUAAUCUUCUGAAACAGAUGGACCAAGAGUUGGUUGAAGAGUCCUAGUGAUCUAAAACAGUUAUGGUUUUGAGGGAUCCACAAGAUUUUUUUAUAAAUGCAAGAGAAACUCAUUUUCCUAAAGGGAGUAAUUGGACAGAUCUUGGAAGGGGUUUUGAGAGAAUUAUAAACAAAGAAGGAAGACAUUAGAAUAAAAGUUAUUUGGGUAGUUGGACCCAAAGAAGUAUAAAAUUGGAUGGAGAGUUGUGAACAAGGAAAAGCUUUGAUGUUUUUUGGAUUUGGCAACAACUUGCCACCAUGUUUAUACGACAAGAUAAUGUUAGAGAUUGCAAAAUGAAAAAGGGUAGAGAAGAAACAUGGAGUGCGGUGGAUGAUGGAGUAAUUCAUCAAAAAAACUUUCAAGUAAGUGAAACUCUAAAAUAAAUAGUUUUUGGGUUAAUUGGUGCAAGAGAAAGGUCCUAUUGGUCUAAUAAGGUAGACUAGUAUGAGAUUGAACUUCAAUUUUUGAAAGAAUAGUUAUUGGCUUUCUUUGGAUGAAAUAAGUUUUGAAAUGUUAAGAUGGACAGAGAUAAGGCAUCCGUUUGGUUUUCGCAGUUGUGGCUUUCGCUUGGACAUGAAGUUUGUUAUAUUUGGAGAUUCAUUGGCACAAGGUUUUGAGUAUUAAAAGUUUUAAAGGAUUAGUGGAGAAGCGUAUAAGCCUAAUAGGUGUAUUUAAAGGAACCUAGAAAAAGAGGUAUGAAGGUUUUUAAUUAAAAGAAGUACUUGAAUGAAAGUUCUUUGGGUAAUUGGCGCUAAUUCAAAGUUCAAUUCUGUUGGUUAUAAGUUAGAUAACGGGCAAUCUUAUGGAAUUGCUGAGUUUAUUAGGUAUUGAAGAAGGCAAAGAGAUAAGUUUGUAUAAGGCCAUGGUUAUCCGUAAGGAGAUGGGAAGAUAAGUGUGAAUAAAGGAGUUUCAUACUAAAGUAUCAAAUUUUGGACUUCCAAGUUUUUGAUAGAAUUCUUGCCAUUUUUGUGAAGAAAGAUUAGCAAAUUCACUAAAGUGCUAAUAUAAUGGACAAACUAAGAUACUUUAUUUCAGUAGCUGACAAUUUGACCGUGGAAAUUGAUCUAAGUCCAAACAUUAACAGUAUAGUAUAUAAUUAAAAAUGAAAUGGUCAAAUGUGAGAUUCGUUGGUAUAUGGUUUCUAGGGUUCUACAAGAUUGUCUGACAAAAUGCAAGAGAAACUCAUUUUCUGAAAAGGAGUAAUUGGACCGAUCAUGAAAAGAGUUUUCAGAUCAUUCUAAACAAAGAAAGGAGACAUUAGAAUAAAAGGUAUUUGAGUAAUUGGAACCAAAGAAGUAUAAAAUUGGAUGAAGAGUUUAAGAAGAUGGAAAAGCUUUGGUACUUUUUAGGAUUGGCAACUACUUGCCAUGAUGUUUUAUACGAGAAGAUAACAUUAGAGAUUGUGAAUUUAAAGAGGGGAGAAAAGACACAAAGAGUGUGGUGGAUGAUGGAGUAAUUCAUUGGAAGAGUUUCAUGUAAAUGAAACCUAAACAUAAAAUGGGUUUGGGUUUAUUGGUGCAAGAGAAAAGUUCCUAUCGGUCUAAUAAAGUAGAUUAGUAUGAGAUUGAAGUUCAACUUUUGAAUGAAGAGUUCUUGUCUUUUUUUGGACAAAAUAAGUGAUGAAAUGACGGACAAAGAUGAGGCAUCCGUUUAGUUUUUGCAAUUGUGGCUUUGGCUUGGACAUGAAGUUUGUAUAUUUGGAGAUUCGCAUUGGCAUAGGUUAAAGUAUUAAAAGUUUUUUAAGGAUUAGUGGAGAAAGUUGUAAAGCCUAAUAGGUGUAUUUAAGGGAACCAAGAAAAGAGGCCUAAUAGGUUGCCAUCUUUUGGAGAAAGGAUUAUCAAAUUGGAUCAAGUGUCGAGGCCGUAAAGAGAAAGUGGAAAGGGGAAAUGCCAAUGUAAGAAAGUGGAAAAAGAAAAUAUCAAAAUUAAAGAUAGGAAAAAAACAUGAAAAGUGAGAAGUCUGUGAUGAUUAUUGAUUUAGCGUUUAGAAGAGUUCGUACCAAGAAGUUUGUAUUACCCAUCAUUACCCUAGAGCCGGACUAGGGUAUGAUGGGUACUAAAUACUUUUUUGUAGCAUUCGCUGCUAAAAACUAAGCCAAUAAUCAUCACCGCUUUUAACACAUUUCUUGUUUUUUCUUGUAUUUUAAUUUGUUUUUUCUUUUUCUACUUUCUUACUUUGACUAAUGGUGAGAUUAGCCAAAUGGAUAAAAUUUUUAUUUAAGGGAUGAGGUGAGUUCUCUUUGCCAUUGUUUUGAGAAAUGAUUAUCAACUUGAAUUAGUGUUGAAAUAGUGCACUAAGAGUCAUAUUAGCCAAUUGGAUCAAGGUUUUAUUUAAGCUCUAUGGUAAUUUUUCGUUGAUAUGAAUAUAGCGAAAAGUCAUUUGCUAAUGAAAUGAUAUUGAAAAAAGACACAUGGAGGACUAUAGACGACACACAAAAGAAAAGUUAGAAUAUAAGAGUUUUGGAUUGAAGUGUGACGUUGAGAUUCAAGUUUUGGAUUAAAGAACUCUAGCCAAUUGUUUUGAGAAAGAAAUAUCAAAAUGGAUUUGUGCUGAGAUUAUGCAUUUAAAUUGUGAAUAGAUUAAGUUUUUGUUUAACGAAUUUGGUGAUUUCCAAUGGACAUGGUUGUUGGAAAAAAAAGUUGGCUAUACUAAAGUAAAUUGUAAAAAGAACAUGGAGGACUAUAAUCGACACAAAUAUAGAAGUGUGGAUUUAUUUAACAAAUUUGGUGAUUUCCAUGGAUAUGGUUAUUGGAAAAAGAAAAGUUUGCUGAACUAAUGUAAUUGGCAAAAAGAACGUGGAGGACCAGAAAUGGCACAAAUAGAGAAGUAAGGAUAUUUGAGUUUUGGAUUGUUAAGUGUUAUUCAAUUUUAACUUUUGGAAUGAAUAACCAUUGUUUCGAGAAAAGAUUAUCAGAAUGAAUUAAGAGUUAAAGAUAGUGCACUAAGAGAAGAUUAGCCAAUUGGAUUAAGUUUUUAUUUAACGAAUUUGGUGAUUUGUUGUUGACAUGAUUAUUGGAACAAGAAAAGUUGGCUAUACUAAUGUAAUUGGUAUAAAGAACAUGAAGGACCAUAAAAGGCACAAAUAUAGAAGUAAGGAUAUUUGAUUUUUUGAUUGAUGUGUGACAUUCAACUUUUAACUUUUUGAAUGAAGAGCCAAUGUUUUGAAAACAGAUUACUUGUUUUGAAAACAGAUUACCAUAAUGGAUUUAGAGUUAAGAUAGUGCACUACGAGAAAGAUUAGCCAUUUGGAUUUAGGAUUUUGUUUAAGGAAUUUGGUGAUUUGCCAUGGAUAUGGUUAGUGAAGAAGAAAUGUUGGCUAUACUAAUAUAAUUGGUAAAAAGAACAUGGAGGACUAAAAGGAAACAAAUAAAGAAGUAAGGAUAUUUGAGUUUGGAUUGAAGUGUGGCAUUUGGACUAACUUUUUGGAAUGAAGAGCCAAUGCUUGGAGAAAGGAUUACGAUGAAUUAAGUGUUAAAAUAGUUCGAUAUUUGAGUUUUGAUUGAAGUGUGGCAUUUGGACUUUUAACUUUGGAAUGAAGAGCCAAUGCUUGGAGAAGGAUUACGAUGAAUUAAGUGUUAAAAUAGUUCCUUAAUUGUAAGAUUAGUCAAUUGGAUUAUAUAGAUCACCAAGUUGUGUUCGUAUUGUAUGGAUAUAAACUUCAACGAUUGCAGUAAGGAAUAGAUCAAUUUCAGAAUGAAAAGUACGAAAAACAAGAAGAGAAUUAAAAGAACUAUCCUCUCUGCUUUUGGUUAAUUUGUGCAAGAGAAAGGUCCCAUUGGUGUAAUAAGGUGUCGGAUGAGAUUGAACUUAAAUUUUGAAUGAAGAGUUAUUUGCUUUCUUUGGAUGAAAUAAGUUACGAAAUGUUAAGAUGGACAGAGAUAAGGUAUCCAUUUGGUUUUCGGAGUAGUGGCUUUCGCUUGGACAUGAAGUUUGUUAUAUUUGUGGAGAUUCAUUGGCACAAGGUUUUGGAGUAUUAAAAGUUUUGAAGGAUUGGUGGAGAAGCGUAUAAGCCUAAUAGGUGUAUCUAAUGGAACCAAAAAAAGAAGUAUGGAGGUUUUUAAUUAAAGGAAGUACUUGAAUGAAAGAUCUUUGGGUAAUUAACGCUAAUGCUGGUUCGAUUCUGUUUAUUAUAAGCUGAUUACGGGCAAUCUAUGGAAUUGCUUAGUUUGUUAGGUAUUGAAGAAGGCAGGAAGAUAAGUUUGUAUAAGGCCAUGAUUAUGUAAGGAGAUGGGAAGAUAAGUUUGAAUAAAGGAAUUUAUACUAAAUAUAAAAAGAACAUGGAGGACUAUAAAUGGGACAAAUAGAGAAGUAAGGAUAUUUGAGUUUUGCAUUUAAGUGUGGCAUUGGACUUCAACUUUUGGAAUGAAGAGCCAAUGUUCAGAGAAAAGAUUAUCAAAAUGGAUUAAGAGUUAAGAUAGUGCACUAAGAGAAAUAUUAGCCAAUUGAAUUAAGUUUUAAUUAAACGAAUUUGGUGAUUUGCCAUGUACAUGGUUAUUGGAAAAGAAAACUGGGCCAUACUAUUGCAAUAUUGGUAAAAAAGAACAUAGAAGAUCAUAAAUGACACAAAUAGAGAAGUAAGGACAUUUGAUUUUUGGAUUGAAGUGUGACAUUGGCUUUUAACUUUUGGAAUGAAGAGUCAAUGUUUAGAGAAAAGAUUAUCAUAAUGGAUUAAGAGUUAAGAUAGUGCACUAAGAGAAAGACUAGCCAAUUGGAUUUUUAGUUUUUAUUUAACAAAUUUGGUGAUUUCCCAUGGACGUGGUUAUUGGAAAAAGAAAAGUUGGCUAUACUAAUGUAAUUGGUAAAAAUAAAUGGAGGACUAUAAAUGGCACAAAUAGAGAAGUCAAGAUAUUUGAGUUUUGAAUUGAAGUGUGACAUUCGACUUGAACAUUUCAGUGGUUUUGUUAGAAGUUUAAUGACUGAAUAGCUUUGCUUCGUAGUCGUAGGAAAUUGUUUGUUUAUGAUAAACUACCUAGGAUUAUUUUAUACAUAUACAGAACUGUUUUAAAUAUUGCUUCAUGGAAUAUCUUUGUUUUGUUUUUAUGUGUUCUUUGUCGAUAUAUAUAUGUGUUUUUGUUUCAAAGAGUAGGUGAGUCAAAUAGUAGGACUGAUUGUAAGACGGGUUGAGAGAUUGAUGAGCAAGGAAUGAAAUUAUAACAUCCUUUAUGUCUUAGUGGUUAGGAAUGGAGCAUUGAACUCUAAUUUUAAAAUAAAUAAUAAAUAUAUAUGUUUUGAGUAUUAAAAGUUUUUGAAGGAUUGUGAAGAAACUUAUAAACUAAUAGGUUUUUUAAAAGAACCAAGAAAAGAGGUCUGAAGGUUUUUAAUUAAAGGAGUACUUGAAUAAAAAUUCUUUCGGGUAAUUGGUGCAAGUGCAAAGAUAGAUUCUGUUGGUUAUAAGCUAGAUAAGGCAAUCUUAUGGAAUUGCUGAGUUUGUUAGGUAUUAAAGAGACCAAAAGAUAAGUUGAAUAAGAGAAUGAUUAUCUUCAAGUAGAUAGGAAGAUAAUUUGAAUAAGGGAAUUUCAAAUAAAAGUACGAUUUCGACUUCAAGUUUUUGAUAGAUUUCUUGCCAUUUUUGGAAGAAAUUAGCAAAUUCACUAAAGUGCUAAUAAAUGGACAAACUAAGAUACUUUAUUUCAGUAGCUGACAAUUGACCGUGGAAAUUGAUCUAAGUCCAAAACAUUAACAGUAUAGUAUAUAAUUAAAAAUGAAAUGGUCAAAUGUGAGAUUCGUUGGUAUAUGGUUUCUAGGGUUCUACAAGAUUGUCUGACAAAAUGCAAGAGAAACUCAUUUUCUGAAAAGGAGUAAUUGGACCGAUCAUGAAAAGAGUUUUCAGAUCAUUCUAAACAAAGAAAGGAGACAUUAGAAUAAAAGGUAUUUGAGUAAUUGGAACCAAAGAAGUAUAAAAUUGGAUGAAGAGUUUAAGAAGAUGGAAAAGCUUUGGUACUUUUUAGGAUUGGCAACUACUUGCCAUGAUGUUUUAUACGAGAAGAUAACAUUAGAGAUUGUGAAUUUAAAGAGGGGAGAAAAGACACAAAGAGUGUGGUGGAUGAUGGAGUAAUUCAUUGGAAGAGUUUCAUGUAAAUGAAACCUAAACAUAAAAUGGGUUUGGGUUUAUUGGUGCAAGAGAAAAGUUCCUAUCGGUCUAAUAAAGUAGAUUAGUAUGAGAUUGAAGUUCAACUUUUGAAUGAAGAGUUCUUGUCUUUUUUUGGACAAAAUAAGUGAUGAAAUGACGGACAAAGAUGAGGCAUCCGUUUAGUUUUUGCAAUUGUGGCUUUGGCUUGGACAUGAAGUUUGUUAUAUUUGGAGAUUCGCAUUGGCAUAGGUUAAAGUAUUAAAAGUUUUUUAAGGAUUAGUGGAGAAAGUUGUAAAGCCUAAUAGGUGUAUUUAAGGAACCAAGAAAAGAGGCCUAAUAGGUUGCCAUCUUUUGGAGAAAGGAUUAUCAAAUUGGAUCAAGUGUCGAGGCCGUAAAGAGAAAGUGGAAAGGGGAAAUGCCAAUGUAAGAAAGUGGAAAAAGAAAAUAUCAAAAUUAAAGAUAGGAAAAAAACAUGAAAAGUGAGAAGUCUGUGAUGAUUAUUGAUUUAGCGUUUAGAAGAGUUCGUACCAAGAAGUUUGUAUUACCCAUCAUUACCCUAGAGCCGGACUAGGGUAUGAUGGGUACUAAAUACUUUUUUGUAGCAUUCGCUGCUAAAAACUAAGCCAAUAAUCAUCACCGCUUUUAACACAUUUCUUGUUUUUUCUUGUAUUUUAAUUUGUUAUUUUCUUUUUCUACUUUCUUACUUUGACUAAUGGUGAGAUUAGCCAAAUGGAUAAAAUUUUUAUUUAAGGGAUGAGGUGAGUUCUCUUUGCCAUUGUUUUGAGAAAUGAUUAUCAACUUGAAUUAGUGUUGAAAUAGUGCACUAAGAGUCAUAUUAGCCAAUUGGAUCAAGGUUUUAUUUAAGCUCUAUGGUAAUUUUUCGUUGAUAUGAAUAUAGCGAAAAGUCAUUUGGCUAAUGAAAUGAUAUUGAAAAAAGACAACAUGGAGGACUAUAGACGACACAAAAAGAAAAGUUAGAAUAUAAGAGUUUUGGAUUGAAGUGUGACGUUGAGAUUCAAGUUUUGGAUUAAAGAACUCUAGCCAAUUGUUUUGAGAAAGAAAUAUCAAAAUGGAUUUGUGCUGAGAUUAUGCAUUUAAAUUGUGAAUAGAUUAAGUUUUUGUUUAACGAAUUUGGUGAUUUCCAAUGGACAUGGUUGUUGGAAAAAAAAGUUGGCUAUACUAAAGUAAAUUGUAAAAAGAACAUGGAGGACUAUAAUCGACACAAAUAUAGAAGUGUGGAUUUAUUUAACAAAUUUGGUGAUUUCCAUGGAUAUGGUUAUUGGAAAAAGAAAAGUUUGCUGAACUAAUGUAAUUGGCAAAAAGAACGUGGAGGACCAGAAAUGGCACAAAUAGAGAAGUAAGGAUAUUUGAGUUUUGGAUUGUUAAGUGUUAUUCAAUUUUAACUUUUGGAAUGAAUAACCAUUGUUUCGAGAAAAGAUUAUCAGAAUGAAUUAAGAGUUAAAGAUAGUGCACUAAGAGGAAGAUUAGCCAAUUGGAUUAAGUUUUUAUUUAACGAAUUUGGUGAUUUGUUGUUGACAUGAUUAUUGGAACAAGAAAAGUUGGCUAUACUAAUGUAAUUGGUAUAAAGAACAUGAAGGACCAUAAAAGGCACAAAUAUAGAAGUAAGGAUAUUUGAUUUUUUGAUUGAUGUGUGACAUUCAACUUUUAACUUUUGGAAUGAAGAGCCAAUGUUUUGAAAACAGAUUACUUGUUUUGAAAACAGAUUACCAUAAUGGAUUUAGAGUUAAGAUAGUGCACUACGAGAAAGAUUAGCCAUUUGGAUUUAGGAUUUUGUUUAAGGAAUUUGGUGAUUUGCCAUGGAUAUGGUUAGUGGAAGAAGAAAUGUUGGCUAUACUAAUAUAAUUGGUAAAAAGAACAUGGAGGACUAUAAAGGAAACAAAUAAAGAAGUAAGGAUAUUUGAGUUUUGGAUUGAAGUGUGGCAUUUGGACUUUAACUUUUGGAAUGAAGAGCCAAUGCUUGGAGAAAGGAUUACGAUGAAUUAAGUGUUAAAAUAGUUCGAUAUUUGAGUUUUGGAUUGAAGUGUGGCAUUUGGACUUUUAACUUUUGGAAUGAAGAGCCAAUGCUUGGAGAAAGGAUUACGAUGAAUUAAGUGUUAAAAUAGUUCCUUAAUUGUAAGAUUAGUCAAUUGGAUUAUGAUAGAUCACCAAGUUGUGUUCGUAUUGUAUGGAUAUAAACUUCAACGAUUGCAGUAAGGAAUAGAUCAAUUUCAGAAUGAAAAGUACGAAAAACCAAGAAGAGAAUUAAAAGAACUAUCCUCUCUGCUUUUGGGUUAAUUUGUGCAAGAGAAAGGUCCCAUUGGUGUAAUAAGGUGUCGGAUGAGAUUGAACUUAAAUUUUUGAAUGAAGAGUUAUUUGCUUUCUUUGGAUGAAAUAAGUUACGAAAUGUUAAGAUGGACAGAGAUAAGGUAUCCAUUUGGUUUUCGGAGUAGUGGCUUUCGCUUGGACAUGAAGUUUGUUAUAUUUGUGGAGAUUCAUUGGCACAAGGUUUUGGAGUAUUAAAAGUUUUGAAGGAUUGGUGGAGAAGCGUAUAAGCCUAAUAGGUGUAUCUAAUGGAACCAAAAAAAGAAGUAUGGAGGUUUUUAAUUAAAGGAAGUACUUGAAUGAAAGAUCUUUGGGUAAUUAACGCUAAUGCUGGUUCGAUUCUGUUUAUUAUAAGCUGAUUACGGGCAAUCUUAUGGAAUUGCUUAGUUUGUUAGGUAUUGAAGAAGGCAGGAAGAUAAGUUUGUAUAAGGCCAUGAUUAUGUAAGGAGAUGGGAAGAUAAGUUUGAAUAAAGGAAUUUUAUACUAAAGUAUAAAAAGAACAUGGAGGACUAUAAAUGGGACAAAUAGAGAAGUAAGGAUAUUUGAGUUUUGCAUUUAAGUGUGGCAUUGGACUUCAACUUUUGGAAUGAAGAGCCAAUGUUCAGAGAAAAGAUUAUCAAAAUGGAUUAAGAGUUAAGAUAGUGCACUAAGAGAAAUAUUAGCCAAUUGAAUUAAGUUUUAAUUAAACGAAUUUGGUGAUUUGCCAUGUACAUGGUUAUUGGAAAAAGAAAACUGGGCCAUACUAUUGCAAUAUUGGUAAAAAGAACAUAGAAGAUCAUAAAUGACACAAAUAGAGAAGUAAGGACAUUUGAUUUUUGGAUUGAAGUGUGACAUUGGCUUUUAACUUUUGGAAUGAAGAGUCAAUGUUUAGAGAAAAGAUUAUCAUAAUGGAUUAAGAGUUAAGAUAGUGCACUAAGAGAAAGACUAGCCAAUUGGAUUUUUAGUUUUUAUUUAACAAAUUUGGUGAUUUCCCAUGGACGUGGUUAUUGGAAAAAGAAAAGUUGGCUAUACUAAUGUAAUUGGUAAAAAUAAAUGGAGGACUAUAAAUGGCACAAAUAGAGAAGUCAAGAUAUUUGAGUUUUGAAUUGAAGUGUGACAUUCGACUUGAACAUUUUCAGUGGUUUUGUUAGAAGUUUAAUGACUGAAUAGCUUUGCUUCGUAGUCGUAGGAAAUUGUUUGUUUAUGAUAAACUACCUAGGAUUAUUUUAUACAUAUACAGAACUGUUUUAAAUAUUGCUUCAUGGGAAUAUCUUUGUUUUGUUUUUAUGUGUUCUUUGUCGAUAUAUAUAGUGUUUUUGUUUCAAAGAGUAGGUGAGUCAAAUAGUAGGACUGAUUGUAAAGACGGGUUUGAGAGAAGUUGAUGAGCAAGGAAUGAAAUUAUAACAUCCUUUAUUGUCUUAGUGGUUAGGAAUGGAGCAUUGAACUCUAAUUUUAAAAUAAAUAAUAAUAUAUAUGUUUUGAGUAUUAAAAGUUUUUGAAGGAUUGGUGAAGAAACUUAUAAGCCUAAUAGGUGUUUUUAAAGGAACCAAGAAAAGAGGUCUGAAGGUUUUUAAUUAAAGGGAGUACUUGAAUAAAAAUUCUUUCGGGUAAUUGGUGCAAGUGCAAAGAUAGAUUCUGUUGGUUAUAAGCUAGAUAAGGGGCAAUCUUAUGGAAUUGCUGAGUUUGUUAGGUAUUAAAGGAGACCCAAAGAUAAGUUGAAUAAGAGAAUGAUUAUCUUCAAGUAGAUAGGAAGAUAAGUUUGAAUAAGGGAAUUUCAAAUUAAAGUACGAUUUCGGACUUCAAGUUUUUGAUAGAUUUCUUGUCAUUCUUUGGAAGAAAGAUUAGCAAACUCAUUGAAGUGCUAAUGAAAUGGACAAACUAAGAUACUUUCUUUGAGUAGCUGACAAUUGGCUAUGGAGAUUGAUUUGAGACUUGACUAAUGAAAUGGACAAACUAAGAAAAGAGGUCUGAAGGUUUUUAAUUAAAGGGAGUACUUGAAUAAAAAUUCUUUCGGGUAAUUGGUGCAAGUGCAAAGUUAGAUUCUGUUGGUUAUAAGCUAGAUAAGGGGCAAUCUUAUGGAAUUGCUGAGUUUGUUAGGUAUUAAAGGAGACCCAAAGAUAAGUUGAAUAAGAGAAUGAUUAUCUUCAAGUAGAUAGGAAGAUAAGUUUGAAUAAGGGAAUUUCAAAUUAAAGUACGAUAUUGGACUUCAAGUUUUUGAUAGAUUUCUUGUCAUUCUUUGGAAGAAAGAUUAGCAAACUCAUUGAAGUGCUAAUGAAAUGGACAAACUAAGCUACUUUCUUUGAGUAGCUGACAAUUGGCUAUGGAGAUUGAUUUGAGACCUGACGAUAACAUUAGAGUGUGCCAUUAAGAAUGAAAAAGUCACAUGGAGAUUCAUUGGUAUAUGGUAUUUAUGGUUCAACAAUAUUCUUGGAUAAGUGCAAGAGAAACUCAUUCUCCUAAAAGGAGUAAUUGGACAUAUGAUGGAAAGAGGUUUGAGACAGUUCUAAACAAAGAAAGGAGGCAUUAGAAGAAAAGGUAUUUGGGUAAUUGGAAGCGAAGAAAAGUUGCAUCGUAUUUGGUCACUUGUUGAGUUGAAGUGUUAUGUAUGUAAUGUGGGAGGAAGAUAAGUACAAUUAGAGAAUUAUGGAUUAGUAUAUGGUAUGAUAUUGGACUCCUAUUUUUUAUGGAAGCGUUCUAUUCGAUGAAACAUUAAACAAUUGGAUGAAGAGUUGAGAAAAUGGACAAAUUAAGGUACUUUCUUAUAAUUGGCUACAAUUUUCACGAAAAAUGAUGUUAGAAUUCAAGAUUAUAUGCUAAAGGAAAAGAGAUACGGAAGUAUAUGGUGGAUCAAGAGUAUUUAUUUAAAUCAAUAUCAAAACUGAAAAUUGAAGUAUUAUUUGAAGAAUUUGUUUGGAAUAAAAUGGACUUGAGCAUUCCAUUUGGUUUUCAAAUAUGAGGGUACAAAUUAAUAUUUAUUCAGGAGUUUUUUGGAAUUGAAGAUACAUUUUUAUGAUUUUGGAUUUUAAAUGUUAAGAAACUCACAAGUCUAAAAAAGAAUAGUUGAAGAGAAAAGUUUGAUUGUACACAAUAUUAACAGAAAAGGUUUUGGAUUUGUUGGGUUGAAUCGUUAUGUUACAUAAGGAAAAUAAGUUAUAAUAAAAGAAUUUUCUAUUAUUCAACUAUAUGAUUGUACUUCCACGUUUUGGCGUUUGGUGAGGUCUAGACAUUCUUUGGAUAAAGGAGUAUAAAAUUGGAUGGAGAGUUCACAACUUGGAGAAACAUGAUACUUUUAAGAUUUGCCAAAUUGCCGUGAUAUCUUAUAGGAGAAAUUAUGAAUUUAAAGAGGGGAAAAGCACAUGGAGUGUGGUGGAUCAUGGAGUAAUUCAUUGAAAAGAUUUUUAGUAAAUGAAACUCUAAAAUAACAAGUGCUUGGGUUAAUUGGUGCAGGAGUAAAGUUUCUUUUGGUCUAAUAAGGUUAAUAUGAGAUUGAAGUUCGACUUUUGAAUGAAGUGUUCUUGUCCUUCUUUGGAUGAAAUAAGUAAUGAAAUGUUAAGAUGGACAGAGAUGGGGCACCUAUUUGAUUUUCUUCACAGUUCUGGCUUUGGCUUGGACAUGAAGUUGGUUAUAUUUGGACAUUUUCAUUGGUAGAAGGUAGAGUAUUAAAAGUUUUUGAAGGAUUGGUGGAGAAACUUGUAAGCCUAAUAUGUGUAUUUAAAGGAACCAAGAAAAGAGGCCUAAUAGGUUGCCAUCUUUUGAAGAAAGGAUUAUCAAAUUGGAUCAAGUGUUGAAGCAGUAGGAGAGAAAGUGGAAAGGAGGAAAAGAGAAAGUGGAAAGGAGGAAAAGAGAAAGUGGAAAGGGGGAAAUAUUGAAGUCAGAAAGUAGAAGAAGAAAAUACCAAAAUUGAAGAUAGGAAAAAAACAUGAGAAGUGAGAAGGCUGUGAUGAUUAUUGAUUUAGCUUUUAGAAGAGUUCGUACCAAAAAGUUUGUAUUACCCAUCAUUACCCUAGAGCCGGACUAGGGUAUGAUGGGAAAUAAAUACUUUUUGUAGCAUUCGCUCCUAAAAACUAAGCCAAUAAUCAUCACCGCUUUUAUCAAAUUUCUUGUUUUUUUCUUGUAUUUUAAUUUGGUAUUUUCUUUUUCUACUUUCUUACUUUGACUAACGGUGAGAUUAGCCUAAUGGAUUAAAUUUUUAUUUAAGGGAUGGGUGAGUGCUCAUAUCUCUUUGCCAUUGUUUUGAGAAAUGAUUAUCAACUUGAAUUAG